rnacentral:rRNA from 1 species
AGAGUUUGAUCCUGGCUCAGGAUGAACGCUGGCGGCGUGCCUAAUACAUGCAAGUCGAACGAGGUGCUUGAGUAGCAAUACAAGAGUAUCCUAGUGGCGAACGGGUGAGUAACGCGUGGAUGACCUGCCCCAAAGUGUGGGAUAACAGUCCGAAAGGAUUGCUAAUACCUCAUGUGGUUGUUGGAUUUAGAAACUGACUACUAAAGCAGCAAUGCGCUUUGGGAGGGAUCUGCGUCCCAUCAGCUAGUUGGUGAGGUAACGGCUCACCAAGGCGACGACGGGUAGGGGACCUGAGAGGGUGGCCCCCCACAAUGGAACUGAAACACGGUCCAUACACCUACGGGUGGCAGCAGUAGGGAAUAUUGCUCAAUGGGCGAAAGCCUGAAGCAGCAACGCCGCGUGUGCGAUGAAGGCCUUCGGGCCGUAAAGCACUUUUCUGAGAGAUGAGAAAGGACAGUAUCUCAGGAAUAAGUCUCGGCUAACUACGUGCCAGCAGCCGCGGUAAAACGUAGGAGGCGAGCGUUAUCCGGAUUCACUGGGCGUAAAGCGCGUGCAGGCGGCUCGGUAAGUUGGGCGUGAAAUCUCCUGGCUUAACUAGGAGAGGUCGUUCAAUACUACCGGGCUUGAGAGUGGUAGAGGAAGAUGGAAUUCCAGGUGUAGUGGUGAAAUGCGUAGAUAUCUGGAGGAACACCAGUGGCGAAAGCGAUCUUCUGGACCGUUUCUGACGCUCAGACGCGAAAGCUAGGGUAGUAAACGGGAUUAGAGACCCCGGUAAUCCUAGCCGUAAACGAUGUAAACUUGGCGUCGGUGGCUUAAACUCCAUCGGUGCCGCAGCUAACGCGAUAAGUUUACCGCCUGGGGACUACGAUCGCAAGAUUAAAACUCAAAGGAAUUGACG